GGAGCCCGGAGAUGGGCACUGAGACAAAGGCCCAGGCCCUACGGGGCGCAGCAGUCGCGAAAACUUUGCAAUACACGAAAGUGUGACAGGGUCAUCCCGAGUGCCGUCCGCUGAGGAUGGCUUUUACUCAGUCUAGAACGCUGAGAGAAUAAGGAGAGGGCAAGUCUGGUGUCAGCCGCCGCGGUAAUACCAGCUCUCCGAGUGGUGUGGAUGUUUAUUGGGCCUAAAGCAUCCGUAGCUGGCUGACCAAGUCCCCUGUUAAAUCCACCGAUUUAAUCGUUGGUCUGCGGGGGAUACUGAUCGGCUAGGGGACGAGAGAGGCCGACGGUAUUUCCGGGGUAGGGGUGAAAUCCUAUAAUCCCGGGAGGACCACCAGUGGCGAAGGCUGUCGGCUAGAACGCGCCCGACGGUGAGGGAUGAAAGCUGGGGGAGCGAACCGGAUUAGAUACCCGGGUAGUCCCAGCUGUAAACGAUGCAGGCUAGGUGUUUGGGCGGCUACGUGCCGCUCUAGUGCCGCAGGGAAGCUGUUAAGCCUGCCGCCUGGGGAGUACGGCCGCAAGGCUGAAACUUAAAGGAAUUGGCGGGGGAG
rnacentral:rRNA from 1 species